GAGAGAAAGAGAGAGUUGAGAGAGAGAGAGAGAGACGUUGAGACAGAGAGCAGCGCCAAAGGGAGAGGGUCCGCCAUCAUCGUCGAUUCGUGCUCACCAGAGGAAGUCGUUACCACAGAUG